GGUUUUGCCUGUUAAGAGUCAGUCAGUCCACAAUGGCUGCAGUUGAGACUUGAGAAAGAGCAAAACAGUGGUGGAGACGAUCAGGACAUCACGAAAGCAUGCCUUGCCCGUAGUUUGUCAAUGUCCUUUAAAAAUUAAGAUCUUUAUGCAAUACUUUUUGAGGGGAGUGGUUUCAACAAAAGAUAAUUGCAAAACGCAAUUAACAAGAGAGCAAAAAAAUGCUGCUUUUGUCACAAAGAUGAAAUAAUUAAACACCUUAUCUUCAAAUGCCGGUUUGCUGACGUUGUGUGGUCCGUUGUUUACGGCGUUGGGUCUUUCUCAGCCUCGUAGCGUGUCAAAUAUUUCUGGAAACUAGCAAAUUACUACUACAGAAUAACUCAUUGCAAACGCCUCAUCACCGUCGGUUCCAAAGAGGUAUCACCGCCGGGUCAUAAUACGACCCGUUGGUGAUGUGUUUGAUGGACAUCACCGCUGGGUUGUAAUACGAACCGGCAGUGAAAGUGGUCAUCAUGGCCGGGUCGUAAUACGAACUGGCGGUGAUGCUCAUCACCCUAAUUUUUUCCAUCUCCCUCCUCCACCUCUCAUUUUUCCUCUCCCAUCUUCUCUCUCCCGCGCCGCACCUGUUCUCCCGCUGCCUCCCUUCUCUCCUUUGUCGCCUCCUCUCCUCCCUCUUUCCCCGUAGCGCCCUCCCCUCCCUUUCUUCUCCCGCUGUUCCUCCAUUCAAUUCUUUCCAUGUCACCGCUCCUCCCCCGCUGCUCUCUCCCUUCCGUCGCCACCUUCCCUCCCUCUUCCCGUGGCUCUCCUCCCUCCAACCCUCCCUACUGCCACCUCCGCUGCUCCUCCCCUCCAAUCCUGCGGCGACCGACGCACAGGGCAGCCAGCAUAGGGGAGCAGUCGUGGUCGGCGCGCGGGAGCCGCGGCCGGUGCGAGGCAGCAGUGGCAGCCACCGGGAGAGAGCAGGCAUGGGGGAGCAGUGGCGGUCGGUGAGUGGGAACAGGUGUGGGGGAGCAGGGGUGGUCGGCGCGCGGGAGCAGAUCCGGGGAGCAAUGGCAGUCGGCGCAUGCGAGCAGACAAUGAAGGCGUGUGUGGCUACAGCGGCGCGUGGCUACUGGCGGGCAGAGACGCGGGCAGCGACAGGCAUGUGGCAGCACGCACGGCAGCGGAGGCGUGCAUGGCUACGGCAGCAUGGCAGGGAUGGCGGCGCGCAACUGCCGACCAGUGUGGCCGUGGCGGGGCGCGGGGUAGUAGCAGGCAUGCUGGUGCUUUUUCUCUCUUUUUUUUAACGGACUGGUGGUGAUGCCCCACCCUAUCACGGUCGAGUUAAAUCCAACAGGUAGCCAAACCAUUGGUGAUGCACAUUUUGAACCGGCAGUAAUGAAGGGUCCUGGAGUAGUGUAAGAGGUAUUGAUAAUGAGUUAAAACUGUUAGUUUUGCUAGGAGCGAGUGGCGACUACAUGUUCGGCCUUAUAGGCAAAAAGAUGUAAUCUUCGAAAAAAUAUAACGAUUAUCCAUUGCAGGUUAUUUUUUAAUUAUAUAUUGACUUUGUAGGUGGAUUAUCUUAUAAGUGCCUGCAGUUGACGGUUCUUAAGUGCAAAAUAUAGCCGUCAACUAUACUCAAUAAUAAACGAAAACUAUAUAUCUUACUCACAUAUUUGUAUCACUAACCUAGUACCACAGUUGUUUUGUUCAUCUAGCCAUUUUAGGGAUACAAGUCUGGAAUAAGAUGAAAGCAUCAUGCGACAAAAAUACACAGAAGAUUCUAUCAUGCGUAAUACUUACAAAGAGGGCUCACCUGGCAGAGCAAACGGGUGCACCAAGAAAUGUACCUGAGAGGAUCAACACUAGAGCCCACAUGUGAGCGAACCAGGGGAAGCAGAAUUGGGGAGUGCCACCUGGGCAUCGACCGACCCCCAAGGUCGGCCGAACCUGGACUGAUUCCAGUCCAGGUGCAUCUUGACAUGGUGUGCCCCCUACUCAUCCUCAUCCCCGUGGAUAACGUUUUCAUGCUUAGAGAUGGCGGGAACCGAGCCUCCAAGCUAUAAAAGGGGCCUCACCCCGCCCCGCUUCACAACACACACCAUCACAUCAAGCCUCUCUCCCUCUCUCUUGCUACCUAUAAUCCUUAGGCUAGUGGAGCUAGGCUAUAACUUUUUCUUAGUGAGUGCAAGUCAUUCUCGAGGUCGGAGAGCAAUCCUUGACAUUUGGAGACCGUGUCUGCAUACGGAGGAAAACCAUACUCAAACAGAGGGAAAAGUAAAUUUUAGAGCAAUCUAUGCAUGCACGAGAAUUGGAAGGGUCACACACCGAAGCAAUUCAACCCAAGAGGCCAAGAAAUGCUGGCGCAUGGAUUCAAGGGCCCAUAAACAGGAGGAAACUGCCUACUUAACGCCAACCACCCCGUACCCACUUGAGGACUCACCUGGCAGUGUCCCAGAUGAAAGGCGGCGCGAGAGGCAACAUCCAGGGUUCAGCCAAACCUGAUCCUUGACAGCUUCCCGUCUCGCUCAUAUUUGGUGGGAAGAACCCCCGCACUUCCCCCAAGAUGGUUCAUAAUAUUUCCAUGUGUAACUCAGCCAUGAACCAACCUUAGAGGAGUAUAUAAGGAGGAGAACCCCCAUUCAAACACAACAUAAGAGAAGAGCUCCACUCCAAGGCGAAGCCCUGCCUCCGUAGUGGCUAGGAAAUAAGGAGAGAAUGAGGGGUAGUUCGGGGGAGGUGCCAGCCUGUCAGUACUCGUCCUCGAUCUUGUACCUCAAGGGAUGCUUCCUUUCUAAGUGAGGAUUCGAGAUCUCCUAUGGUGGUGACUCUUUUGGUUAAGUUCUAUUCUUUACUUGCUUUCGGGAUCAUCGUCCGUUUUUAUAACGGAUGCUCUAGUAGAGGGCCCCUGAUAGAGAUGGGUAACCCUGAUUGACGCUAGAGCCGCAAUCGACAGCAUAGAUGUAGUAUCUAGACUCCAGGAGGCUAGAUUACCUUUGUUUGCCUCAUGCCCAUAGUAUUGAGGGGUAGGCGUCAGGUGGUGACAGCCUUGUCUGUGCCUUGUACUCCCCCCUAUUCGGGUAUGGCGUAGAGCUAUUGGUCGGAGGGUCCUAGCAAACCGGGGUCAAACUGCCGCCCGAAGUAAGAAAGUAGAGGUUGAACCUAUCUUUACCAGAAAUUCUUAACCUUAGAAAUCCUCUCUAUCCUCGCCUACCUUACUCAUGUCUGUCCGUGGAUGAAUCAGCUAGAAGCUUAGUACACACAUUCCUUGUGGAUACGAUAUUCUUGAAUACUCACGAGUGAAAGCUACAACAAUAUAUCUGUAUGCUUGCGGAUUUACUCGUGAAUGUUAAAAAAUACCAACAUUGGCCCUCAUCAAUGGCAACCUGGGAAGAUCUUGUGGACCUUUUUCCACAUGCACCAGCUUGGGGGCAAUUGGUGUUUCAAGAGGGGGAGACUGUUAGCAGGCUAUCGUCGAUAAUGGACCGUAUCGCAGAACAAGAACAAAGAAGCCCAAUGCGGCUGUGUCCGGGCUUGAGUGGCUCAGCAUGUAAACUGGCCCAAAACAUGAGAUAGUAUAUGAGACUUGGAGAGCAGAGGGGAGAGGCAACAAUUAUUGUAAACAUCAACUUAUUCCUCAAGACUAAUCUAUCCUCUACUCUUCAUC